rnacentral:rRNA from 1 species
GACGUAGGGCGCGAGCGUUGUCCGGAUUUAUUGGGCGUAAAGAGCUCGUAGGCGGCUUGUCGCGUCGUCUGUGAAAUCCCGCGGCUCAACUGCGGGCUGGCAGUCGAUACGGGCAGGCUGGAGUUCGGUAGGGGAGACUGGAAUUCCUGGUGUAGCGGUGAAAUGCGUAGAGAUCGGGAGGAAUGCCGGUGGCGAAAGCGACUCUCUGGACGGCAACUGACGCUGAGGCACGAAAGCGUGGGGAGGCAAACAGG